rnacentral:rRNA from 1 species
GGCGGACGGGUGAGUAACGCGUAAGAACUUGCCCUUUAGACUGGGAUAACAGAGGGAAACUUCUGAUAAUACUGGAUAAGUUAGUAUAUCGCAUGAUAUGCAAAUGAAAGCUACGGCACUAAAGGAGAGCUUUGCGUCCUAUUAGCUAGUUGGUAAGGUAAGAGCUUACCAAGGCUAUGAUAGGUAGCCGGCCUGAGAGGGUGGACGGCCACAAGGGGACUGAGAUACGGCCCUUACUCCUACGGGAGGCAGCAGCG